AUACGUAGGGAGCGAGCGUUAUCCGGAUUUAUUGGGUGUAAAGCGUGCGUAGACGGGCAAUUAAGUUAGUUGUGAAAUCCCUCGGCUUAACUGAGGAACUGCAGCUAAAACUGGUUGUCUUGAGUACUGGAGGGGAAGGCGGAAUUCCUAGUGUAGCGGUGAAAUGCGUAGAUAUUAGGAAGAACACCGGUGGCGAAGGCGGCCUUCUGGACAGAAACUGACGUUGAGGCACGAAAGUGUGGGGAGCAAACAGGAUUAGAUACCCUGGUAGUCCGCACGGUAAACGAUGGAUGCCCGCUGUUUGCGAUAUACUGUGAGCGGCCAAGAGAAAUCGUUAAGCAUCCCACCUGGGGAGUACGCCGGCAACGGUGAAACUCAAAGGAAUUGACGGGG
rnacentral:rRNA from 1 species